UACCAACUAAAAGACAAGUAUCCUUGCUCUUUGUCUAGCCUGAGUGGAUGGCACCUGAAGUUCUAUGUGAUGAGAAUUCAAAUGAGAAAUCCGAUGUUUAUUGCUUUGGAGUGGUUCUUUGGGAACUUAUGACACUGCAACAACCAUGGAAGCAGUUAAACCCACCACAGGUUGUGGCUGCUGUAGGUUUUAAAGGCAAAAGGCUUGAGAUACCAAGCAAUGUAAACCGAGUUGUGGCUUCCUUGAUUGAACUCUGUUGGGCUCAGUAAGUGUGCUUUCUUACUAUAUCAACUGCCAAGUUUGUUGCACUAAUGUUUACAUCUUAAUAAUCUUAAAACUUGUGAAUUUCUGAAAAUUUGAAGCCAUCAACAAGAUAAAGCACUCAUUGACAAAUUCCAUGAUGGCAGAAACCUGGGUGCAUGAUAAGCGCCUGACGUGAAUCUACCAGUAUCUACUACCCAUUCUUUAGGUUUUGUCUUUAGUUAACUAUGUCAUCCUAACUCUUCAUUUUAUCUCAUAUAUCUCGGACAUACAGAAAGGAUACGGUUCGCCACAAUACGAAUUUACGGUCGGAGACGUUCGCUGUCACCGGAAAAUCUCAAUAAAGGUUUGAUAUUUCCUUUGAAUUUGCUCUAUUUAUUUUAGUUUCAUCUGUUAGUUAUUCUCUAUUUUUUUCAGGUCUGUAGACUAUUUUUUUUGCGGAUAUUUAGGUUGUGAACAAUUUUUUACAUAUUAUAGUCUUAUCAAGUUAUUGGAGUUUUUCUAGAUUAAUUCCGCUGAAAUAUGAGAAUAGAUAAUUAUUUUGUCAUUUUUUAGUAUUGGGUGCAAAGUGAAUUUGAAGGGGAUUGGGGGUUGGGUUGAUCAGUUACCGGUUGUUAUUGU